AUGGCUCCUACCGAGGCUGAGGAUGAUGUAGAGGAGGGAGAAGAGAAGAAGAAGAAGAAGAAGAGGGAAAGGAAGGCAGCCGGAGCUGCUUUCACGUGGAUUCAAAAUAACUUUGCGACGUGCCCUCCGGAUGCAACUGAUGAUGUGAUCCAGACACAUGCUCGUGUGUAUAUGUGGUACAUUGUGUCGAGGACUUUGUUUCCUGACUCCACUGGCAAGAACGCUCCAUGGAUGUGGCUGAAGGCGUUGACCGUCUUCGAUAGCAAAUGGAGCUGGGGUUCAGCGACUCUUGCCUACUUGUACCGACAGGUAGUUGGUCUGUUUUGUGAUCAACUCAUUUAUUCAUUAGCAAUGCAAGCUUGCUGUCAAGUUAACAUUGUUUUUCUUUCAUAUGUAGCUGGAUGA
rnacentral:rRNA from 1 species